GAUGGGGGUCGGGCGCAGCCUGAUCCAGCCAUACCGCGUGGGUGAAGAAGGCCUUCGGGUUGUAAAGCCCUUUUGUUGGGAAAGAAAAGCAGUCGGUUAAUACCCGAUUGUUCUGACGGUACCCAAAGAAUAAGCACCGGCUAACUUCGUGCCAGCAGCCGCGGUAAUA
rnacentral:rRNA from 1 species